rnacentral:rRNA from 1 species
ACCCGCUGAACUUAAGCAUAUCAAUAAGCGGAGGAAAAGAAACCAACCGGGAUUGCCUCAGUAACGGCGAGUGAAGCGGCAAGAGCUCAAAUUUGAAAGCUGGCUCCUUCGGGGUCCGCAUUGUAAUUUGCAGAGGAUGCUUCGGGUGCAGCCCCCGUCUAAGUGCCCUGGAACGGGCCGUCAUAGAGGGUGAGAAUCCCGUAUGGGGCGGGGUGUCUGCGUCCGUGUGAAGCUCCUUCGACGAGUCGAGUUGUUUGGGAAUGCAGCUCUAAAUGGGUGGUAAAUUUCAUCUAAAGCUAAAUACUGGCCGGAGACCGAUAGCGCACAAGUAGAGUGAUCGAAAGAUGAAAAGCACUUUGAAAAGAGAGUUAAACAGCACGUGAAAUUGUUGAAAGGGAAGCGCUUGCAACCAGACUCGCUCGCGGGGUUCAGCCGGGCUUCGGCCCGGUGUACUUCCCCGCGGGCGGGCCAGCGUCGGUUUGGGCGGCCGGUCAAAGGCCUCCGGAAUGUAGCGCCCUUCGGGGCGCCUUAUAGCCGGGGGUGCAAUGCGGCCAGCCUGGACCGAGGAACGCGCUUCGGCACGGACGCUGGCAUAAUGGUUGUAAACGACCCGUCUUGAACCACGGAC